rnacentral:lncRNA from 1 species
AUACAGGUAAGGGAAAGCCUGGAGGAACUUCUGUAAAUGUUGGGAAAGGCGGAGUAAACGUGAACACUGGGAAAGGAAAGCCAGGAACCAAUGUUAAUGUGGGAGGUAAAGGUGGUGUAAAUGUUAACGCUGGAAAGCCGGGGAAGAGAACCAAUGUAGGUGUUGGCAAAGGCGGUGUAACUGUUACCACGGGACACAAGGGAAAGCCUGUGUAUGUUGGAGUACGACCAGGGCCAUCCCCGUUCAAUUAUGUUUAUGCUGCUACUGAAAAUCAACUUCACGAUGACCCAACUGUGGCUCUCUUUUUUUUGGAGGAGGACAUGUAUAUCGGGAAAACCAUGAACUUGCACUUCACCGAAAACCCAAACAUAGCAACUUUCUUACCACGCCAAGUUGCCAAUUCGAUACCUUUUACAUCUAAAAAGUUGCCAGAGAUCUACAAUGAGUUUUCUGUGAAACCUGGAUCAACGGAAGCUGAGAUAAUGAAGACAACAAUCAGAGAGUGUGAAGAACCUGGGAUUAAAGGAGAGAAGAAAUACUGUGCAACAUCACUCGAGUCAAUGAUUGACUUCAGCACUUCUGUACUUGGAAAAAAUGUUCAGGCAAUCUCCACGGAGGUGGAAAACCAAACCCAGAUGCAGAAGUAUAAAAUUACAACUAGAACAAAGAUGGCAGGUGACAAAUCUGU